CUCUUGUUUACUUCAGGGAGAAAGAUAGUUUUCUACACUGCUAUGUUUCUUCCCUUGAAGGAAUUAUAUCCUCAAUGAUGGGGGCAAACACUGUCCAGCAAGGCACAGGAGUAAAUGGACAAUGUAAUUAUCAGCAUCACCGUGUAGGUGACAGACACUGCUGUUUGUUAUGGAAGAGGGUACUUCCUAGUAUCCUUACACAGUGAACUGAGGUGGCUUUUCAGUAAGCUGUAUUUAGAAGAUUUAAAGUGAGACUGUGCUUAUCUUCAUCCCAGGGAGGGUGACAUUCUUUGCCCUUUUCUGUUAAGCCGCAGUGAAUUGAGAUAACUUUUCGGAAAGCAACAUUUGGGAGCUUUAAAGUCCUUUGACCAUUCCUUCCUUUGUGCUCUUUUAGACUGUGCUUUCCUUUGGUACUUGGGGAGUGAGCUGUAUUUUACUCUUUUAUGCUCAGUACAAGCACUGAUCUCUUACAUUCUGAAGACAGGAAGUGGCUGUAGGCAUUCUGGAGUAUGUGAGACAGUAUCAGAUCUUUACAAUGAAGUACUAAGGAGUUUGACGCGUAACAUCAACACUGAAGCCUAGUGGAAAUGCUACAGAAGGUCAAGCAUACCAAAUGAAUACAUUUUGUGCAUGCCUUUUAUACUUCAGGUAAUGAAGGGCAGCUGGAAGAGCAAAAGAAAGCAGUUUGCUUCCUACACUGGUGUUGUGCGGCAAGACUCCAAAGGUGCCACAGGAGAUUGAAGAGAAUAGAAUCACCUGCCCGAGGAGAUGGGACAAGCUCUUCAGGUGGUGGGGAUCAUUUAUACUGCAGACAGAGGUGAGGCACCAGAAGCCACUAUGCUCUACACUGGCCACUGUGCCCACAGCUGGCUUCCCAGCAGUCUCCAGGCCCACAUCUCUGCAGGGUUACAAAGGCCUCUCUCUAGAAGGUGAGGAAGAUGCCAAUGAAAGCUCCUCAUC